GAAAUCAGAAAUCGAGCAUUCGUUAAACAUGGAGCUGCUUAUAGUUGUAGAACAGAGCUUGUGUGGUCCGAGAAAACAGUUGUCCCGUUGCCAUUUUUGGGAAGAGCUCAAAAAGGAUCAAUAGGAACAACAAUUUGGUACACCUUUGAUUAAAACUUGUGUAUAAAUCAUCAUUUUAAACUUCUCUUUUCUGAAACAUGAUUUUCUUAAGAUAAAAUGAAUCGGCUAUAGAAUGAACUAUCAAUUUAUCUUUAACGCUCAUGUUGCUGCAUGUCAAUCAACGAAUGCUACUUCUUCUUCAA